rnacentral:rRNA from 1 species
UGAGGAAUAUUGGUCAAUGGACGAGAGUCUGAACCAGCCAAGUAGCGUGCAGGAAGACGGCCCUAUGGGUUGUAAACUGCUUUUAUAAGGGAAUAAAGUGAGUCUCGUGAGACUUUUUGCAUGUACCUUAUGAAUAAGGACCGGCUAAUUCCGUGCCAGCAGCCGCGGUAAUACGGAAGGUCCGGGCGUUAUCCGGAUUUAUUGGGUUUAAAGGGAGCGUAGGCCGGAGAUUAAGCGUGUUGUGAAAUGUAGAUGCUCAACAUCUGAACUGCAGCGCGAACUGGUUUCCUUGAGUACGCACAAAGUGGGCGGAAUUCGUGGUGUAGCGGUGAAAUGCUUAGAUAUCACGAAGAACUCCGAUUGCGAAGGCAGCUCACUGGAGCGCAACUGACGCUGAAGCUCGAAAGUGCGGGUAUCGAACAGGAUUAGAUACCCUGGUAGUCCGCACGGUAAACGAUGGAUGCCCGCUGUUGGUCUGAAUAGGUCAGCGGCCAAGCGAAAGCAUUAAGCAUCCCACCUGGGGAGUACGCCGGCAACGGUGAAACUCAAAGGAAUUGACGGGGGCCCGCACAAGCGGAGGAACAUGUGGUUUAAUUCGAUGAUACGCGAGGAACCUUACCCGGGCUUGAAUUGCAGAGGAAGGAUUUGGAGACAAUGACGCCCUUCGGGGCCUCUGUGAAGGUGCUGCAUGGUUGUCGUCAGCUCGUGCCGUGAGGUGUCGGCUUAAGUGCCAUAACGAGCGCAACCCCUCUCCUUAGUUGCCAUCAGGUUAAGCUGGGCACUCUGGGGACACUGCCACCGUAAGGUGUGAGGAAGGUGGGGAUGACGUCAAAUCAGCACGGCCCUUACGUCCGGGGCUACACACGUGUUACAAUGGCAGGUACAGAGAGACGGUCCCUUGCAAAAUGGAUCAAAUCCUUAAAGCCUGUCUCAGUUCGGACUGGGGUCUGCAACCCGACCCCACGAAGCUGGAUUCGCUAGUAAUCGCGCAUCAGCCAUGGCGCGGUGAAUACGUUCCC